GUCUAUUUUCUCUCAUUUUGUCUACUAUCAAAAACCAUGUAUUGGCUAUAUUUUAUCUACUCUUUCUUUAUCAUAUUAUUUCUUGUCACUUCAUUCAUCCACCUAAGCAUUCUCGUCACUGCUAUAAACUCAUUCUUUAUUCUAUUUUUCUGUAUACCGCCCAACAAUUUAAACAGUCUAAACGAGACAUUAUCUCAACAAGUUCUUCUAGAACUUACUCUUUAGUUUCAUUGAAUUUGCUUGUUACAUAAAACAUCUGCCACUUCUUUCCAUUUUUUCCAACCACAAUUAAUCCUAUGUUUCGUAACCACAUAAAAGCCACCGUUAUGGUGUACCAAAGAGCCUGGGUACUUACAACUCUCAACCUCGCUUAUUAUGUCACCGUUUAUUGUCGUUGGCUGUCUUUUCUUGUUUCUCAAAACCCAUAUUCUGUUUUACUACUAAUCCUUUUAAGUGCUACUCUCCAUUUCUCAAGCCUAUUGUUAACUUAUUCCAGAUUUUCUCCUAUCAAAUCUAUACCAUACAAAAAUCAUUCACCAUAGUAUCUCCUCUCACCCGUUUACCCCGUACACAUCCGACAAUGUCCCAUCAUAGGUAUUGUUUAGAACUCAUCGUACUAUUCGACAGAAUUUUACAUAUAAAAAAAAUAUACACCUACGGGUGUUACCAAGUACUUAACACAUUGCAGUAUCUAUUGCUCAUAAGCGCAAACCCGUCCGUGUUCCUUUUACGUUUUCUUUCCGAUUUCUCCCCCAAAUAAGGUCCAAAGUUGAACAAAAAAAAAAAAAAUGGGUCUUUCGUCUUGUUUUGAAAAUAGUUUUGGCACGCUAGAGUUCAUAGAUUUCGGCCUAUCUCACUGUACGUCGUCUAAACGCACGUGUAUGUGUAAUUUUUAUGUCAUAUUUAUUAUAUCUCGUUUUUUAAAUUCUCGUAUUAUUCUUACGGAGUAUUUAUUUAUUCAUAUUUCGUUCAAAAAAAAUUUAUUACAAUACGCUUAUAGGAAAUUUUUCAGGCAUUCAAAUAUUAACAAUAAUAAUAAAAAAAAAAAAAAAAAAACAAAAAAAAAAUAAUAGUAAUAAUAAUAAUAAUAACAAUAAUCAUAGUAAUAAGGGCAUUGCUAACAAUAUUAUUAUAUUAGUGUCCGUAUAAGUGUUUUGCUUGUUUGUUUGUUUGUAUAAGGUAUUUUAUUCGAUUUAUAUAUUAUUAAUUAAUGCGUUUGAGAUAAAUUGGUUUAUUUUAGUCAUUUUUUUCUCGCGGGAAUUUUGUAGACAGAAAUUAAACAGGUAGUCCCACGUUUUAUAAUUAUAAUAUAAUAUAAGACUACAUUAAAAAUAUUUACAAAUUUAUCAGCUAUGUUCAUAAUUAUUACUAUUUUAUUUUUUCAUUAAAAACGAAUAGCUAAAAACAAUGAUUAUUUAAAAAUAGAAAAACAAUUAACAGUAUUUAUUGAAAUUUCGCUUAAAUUAUGAAAAAAAUGUAGAUAUUAUUCGUGUUUAUCUUAAAAUUUUGUUUCGCUGAAAAAAAAAAUGUCGAUUUUUAUGUACUUUUAUUUACAAAAUGUAUAAUAAUAAUAAUAAUAAUAAUAACACCUAACAGUUAUGAUAUUGUAUAAUAUAAUAUUUGAUUUAUAAUAAUCAUUUAUAAUUUACGAUUAUAAUGUUCUAUUAUAUUAUCGACACGAUUUUCACCAUAUUAUGUAAAAUGAUAUUAUUUGGGAUCAUACUUACCCGACAAUUUUCACUUGUUUUAUUAUUUAUAUAUGCACACAUUAUAGUAUUUAUUAUGUUUAAAAAUCAAUUUAAAUAAAACGCAUUAUAGCCAAUUUAAAAAAAAAAAUGUCGUAUGUAUGUUCAGUGUUCAUAUACCUAUACAUAUAUAUAUAUAUAUAUAUAUACAUAUAUAUAUGUAUGUAUACACGUUAUAUUCAAAACAAAGUUUGAUUGAAUAGGUGUCAGGUGUCAGGCUCGGGAUAUGAUUAUCGUAACCUAUAAUGUGAUGUCUCUCUUUAAGAAAAAAAAAAUAUACAUAAUAAACAUGGUUAAACACCAAACCAAGAAAAAUAUUUGCUAAUAUUCGCUAUUAAUAUAUUCGUGUAUUGUCCUCAAAUAAAUCAAUAGUAUUGCGAUGCAAAGCGAUAAUAUCGAUAUUACCGACAGUAUAAACGGUCACCCGAUUAUAGUUCAUGCGGUGUUGCGCCGAUCGCGUUGUUGGACCGGCGGUAACGUGACGGCAGCAGAGAAAGACGCCACCUCAAUCCGAAACAGGUCGAUAAAAAACAUUGACGGUGUACAAUUGUUAUAGCGUCGCGCCGUCCACGCUGCGCGCGUUUCGCGGACACGCGUUAUAACGGGCCGGAAUCGGUUAUUCCGCGUUUUUCGCGACUGUUCGCGAAAUUCGAAAACGAAUUUGAUUGCAUUUUAAUAGCCACCUAAUGACGUACGACUCUACCGCUUGUCUAUCGCCGGAUACCGCAUUGAUGGGGAACGGCGGCUUGUGCCCGAUGUUUGCGAGAAGAGGUACGGGGAAACGGUACAAAAGACCGGGGGCGGAAACCCCUCCAAAGAACAAAUUCUCACUAUUCUUUCACGGCCUUCCGAUUUUUAAGCGCGGCACAUUUUCUGAAAGGAAAUCGGUGGGAUGGGAAACUUUAAGGCUUUGAGGUGGUCAUUUUCUCAAGAUUCUUCUGAUAAAAAUGUGAAAAACCAAAAAAAAAAAAAAAAACUGAGGAAAAACGGGAAAAUUUACGAAAUAUACUUAUAAAAUAUUGCGUUUUUUUUAUUUUUUUAUUUUGUGGACAACUUUUCUACCAGCAAUUUUGUUCAGAUUUACAAUAAUAGCACUUUUCCUAAACGAAAAUCUGAGUGGGUAUGAACAUUAGGGAGGUAAUUUUUCGCAGAUUCUUCUAGUGAAUCGAAAUUUGUCUUAUUAUAAAUUAAACAAUGAAUAAUAUAUUCACCGUUCACUUUUUACGAUAGCGUAAAUAAAUAAAAAAAAAAAAAACUUAUGUUUAUCAAACCUAGAUACCACCCCAUAUAUUUUAUCCUGAAGGGGAAGCAGAAUGGCUAUUUCUUAUGGACGAAUAUGAUGUAUUAGACUGCAGGGAAGCUAGACAAAAAUAUAAGGAUUAGGUUUAAUGGAUUUUCGUUUUGAAAACAGAUUUUGAUUGAUUAUAAUAAGUAUAACAGAUUCUGAUAGAGGUGAUUAUAUUUUUUUUUAUUUAUGUUCUUCGUUGUAACACAGAGCAAUGGAAUAUCUAUUUUGGAAUAACUAAAGUCACCUGCUUCAAAACCUAUACACCUCUUCAAUCAAUCAAUUCAAUUCCGUCAAUUCCGUUUUAAUAUUAAAAUUCGUCAAACCCAAACCUAGUAUUGACUAGUUUUUCAAUCCGAAUACCAUUUUUUUUUCUCUUUUUUUUUCAACGACUGUAAUUUCCUACAAAAAAAUAUUCGCUUGUCUAAAAUUAGGUAAUAUUUAAAAAGUUUUUAUCUUUACCGUCCGUCGUCUAUUUAGGGUGUUAACAUAUUAUGUUUGACCCGCCGCCGUUUAGGUCUUUAGAUUGUUCGACAAACUUCGAGAUUAUAAAAAUACUACAAUAUUGUUUAAAUUACCCUCGUAAAACCCUGAAAAUUUAUUUAUUUAAAAUUAUUCGUGUUAAUAAAUACGACAGACAAAUAAAAGUAACGCAAUUAUCUAUUUGUUGGCAACACAGUGGCGCACUGUUAAGAUGUUAUCAAUUAAUGUAACCGUAUGUGUACUCUCGAGGGAGACGAAUGUAGAUUGUAUUGGUGUCGCAGGGAAAAUGGAAAAAGGCUAAAAAUUAAAAUAACUAAAAUGUGUGGUCGAUGAGUGAAUAUACUUUUGUAAACCACGCGCCUUCUCAAAAUUCCAGUAAAUAUAUGAACUUGUGUGUUUUAUAACAAUUUGUAAUGUAAUGUCUGAAGUUCCCCUCCUGUAAUAAAUUUGACACCUACUUAAUAAGAGGCCGUCACGAAAACGGCUUUGAAAUCUGAUUUUAGAAAUGCGAUGAGUUUAGACAGUAACGUGUUGAUAAAUUUGCCACCCGGGGGAUCAAAUAUUUAGUUAUAUUGAGUUCGUCUCCUUGACUACUCUCCUGCUAAACCUUAUUAUAUUUCCGAAAAAACAAUUAAUAAUAAUCAUAAAUCACAUUGCUAUACAUAUUCUAAUUUUUGCCAAAAAACCAUAAAUUAUUUCUUCAAGUAUCGAGAAUAUUUUACGUACAAUUCAUUUAAAAUUUGUUUUUUCGCAUUUAAAGCUGCCAGUUCGUUAGUAAUUAUUCCGGUUCACGUUCCGUGAUGAUCAGUUGUCUAUAGACGUAAAAUCUGCAUAAAAGCGUAAAAUAAAAUAUGUAUAAAAUGUAUAAAUAUUAUAUUUUAGUCAUUCUUAUAAUUUCGUAAGCCGUAGAAUUGUGCACGAAACACGCACCUUCAAAACUUUACCGGCCGAAAACAUUCGACGCCCGGGACAACUGCCGCUUUUUAACCUUCCCCUCUUCACACGGAACCGGGUCGGGUGUAACGUAUUAUCGGUGCGUAUCGGCGUCACGGGGAACCUUAAAAAGACAAAAAGAAAAAGGCGCGCGGUACUUUCGUGAAGCUCCGCACGCAAAAAAAAUUCCUAUAUGCGCCGCCGAUACAUGGUUGUGCGCACGACCGUUAUUCGACGACGUGAGUCAGAUACGUAAAAAAUAAAAUCAAUCGUUACACGUAAACCGCGAAAGACCGCAGUAGCCAAUAAUAAUAUGUCUUGUCGAGAACGCGCAUAAUAUAAAUACGAGGUGUAAAACUCGUUAUGCCUUAAAAAGCGAUCCGCCGCACAAUAAUCGUAAAUAUUGAAAAUUCGCCGUAAUAAAAUGCACUCGGAGUCUAACACGCCGUGAAUUCUCCGAGUGAGAGAACUAUAAUAUUAUGUUAAGUAUAUCCACGCCAGUAGAGCCGCCUAUUUUGCAAUAAUUUAUUGUUAUUUUUUGUAUCAUUCUGACCGCCCCGCCCCGCCACACCAGUGCAUAAUUGUAUUCCUUCAGAGAUCGCGGGACAACGUAACGGGACAACCAGCGCCGUCGAUAGGGUCGGGCAUACUGGACAUUUGUGCUCAGUCACGCGCUCCGUAAAAGGCCUCGUGCGCAUUAAAAAUGCUCAUAUUAGCCCUAUCCGUACGCGGUAAAAUUUUCAAAUUGUUUUGACCGUUUUUGAGUUGACUAUUUGGUUUUAUUUUCCACCGAAAUUUUUGAAGUAUAUUUAUAUUGUUAUAAUACAACAAGGUCUAACUACAAGUUCAUGGAUUAAAAAUAUUUUAACCUCCCCCCUCACCCGGAAAGUUUACCCCGAAUACGUGUUCGGUUAUGGUUUACAGACUCGAAAACUAUAGUCGUUCGAUUUCGCUGAAAGUUGCACAGUUUGUCCUCGUUGGUUUCAGAUGGUUUUUAGUGAGCGGUGUCGGUUUAGAUCGGAAAUUUGACUGCUAAAAUUGAGACUCAAACGAAAAAAAUGUAUACUAAAAAGUUUCGAUAAUUGCACUUUUUGUUCUCGUUUAUUUCCAGUAUCUGUUGGUAACACCUGGGCGGGGAUAAUAUUUUUAUGUUAAUCAAUUGUUUCCACUGGAAGGUACGGUUUUAUUUCAUUUUUAAAAUUCGUUCUCGUUCAAUACUGCGACACGGGCAAGGGCGGAUCAUGCAGAUAGUAUAUUUUAUGUCACACAAUUUUCAGAUCAGUUUAGUAACAUAAUCUCAAAUUUCAUAAGCGAUGUUUCAAUUUCUCGAAAAAGGGGAACAUUUUAUGAGGUCAAUUUCCGCUCGCCCCUCGCUAUACACAAGGCGAAUUAUUUUUAAACAAAAAUUGUUGAAACCUGAUGCAAUUGCAUACAAUUUCUAUAAAAAAAAAAAAAAUUAAAAAAACGCCCGUUUCAAAAUUAAGGAAACUGUUAAAUAUUUCGAUAUUUGAUAUUAUAUUUCAUUCGCAUUUUUACACUCCCGUCAGGCAUCGUCGUACCGCGUUUAUAUUAAAUAACUCGGUCGACCUUCCGCAUUCACUUCGCGUAGUCCGAUAUAAGCUCUAUACCCAACUUAAUACUUUGAAGUUUAGGUCGACAUAAUAUUAUUAAUAUUCUACCCGAACCGCGAUGAUAAACUUCAGUUUAAUUACCGUAUUCCGAGGUCUAAAUAUUAAUAAACCUACCUAAUACUUCGGUUAUACAUUUAUUACCAGAACCAUUCGAGUAGAUGAAGAAGAUUAAUUAUAUUAUUCUCAUUUUACCAACGCGCAUCACGAUUUUAUCAAAUUGAAACCAAUACGAUCCUUUUUUUUUACAUAUGUCGAGCUAUCCCAGAAUAAAGGGGUCCAGGGACGAUCAUAAAUCCCAGUUUUUACAAACAAUAUAUAAGUUCGUGGUUAUUAACUAUACAUUUUAUCAUUAACUUAGUUUUUUUUUUUUUUUUUAUAUCUUUUCGCAUUCAAUAACUUUUCGUUGAUGGCCUUUAGUGAAAAUUAUUAGAUCUCUAAAUUACAUAUUGUUUUAAUUUUUCUAAAACUUAUUACCAAUAAAUAGGUUCUAUAAAAUACAAUUUUUAUUUUUAUUUUAAUUCUUUCUAAGGGCUUCAUUAAAAAGUUUGGCUGUAAAUGUCUGGGCUUGAUGUCGAGCAAAAACUAUUUAAAAUUAAUAUUCUGCUUUAAACCCACCGUAGAAGUUUCCAAUCGCGCAAUGGUUAUCAUUGUUUUAAAAUAACCUUCUACUACAGUUACGAUGUCAAAAACGAUAUUGUCUUUCAUCUGUUAAAACAAUGUUCAAUUGUUUACAAGGCGCGUAAAACCGACGACGUUUCAACAAAUUUGAAAUACCGGAUGACACAUACUAAUAUUAUAAGCAGCAGCUAUACAAGGGCCGAAACGUUGCGGUUGUGUGGUAAUUAUUGGAUUAUAACGACCGCUAUUGGUAUUGCGCUGUUUUAUGCGCCAAAAUAUAUAUAAUUUAAUGUCUAUAAUUAUUUUGACCCGUAUGGACGUAUAGAUAUAUUUACUAUUACAGACAGUUUUAUCCCUUCGAUUCACGCGAUAAUCACAUCAAAUAAUGUGUACGGACUCGAUUGUAAUUAUGUUUUCCUCGUGAAAAUUUAAUACGUCGCAACGGCGGCGUAUUAGUGAUGUCCUCAUCGAAAACAAUCCUAAAUGAAAAAUAGUCUAUAUAUAUACACAUACAAAUCAAUUAUCUCGACUUGUGACUUUAUCGUGGAUCAUAUUUUCAUUAUCGUCUAUGCACAGUGCACUCUAAAAUAUUUCAGAUUCUGAAUGGAUGAACGAAGAAGGUUAUGGUUUUACAAGGAUGUUUAUUUAUUUAUUUUUUUUAACGGACGACUUUUCUAAUAAACAUUUUGUUCCGAUUUUUAAGUGUACCUUUUCUGAAAGGAAAUCGAUGUACAGGGGUACUUUAAAGUGGUCAUUUUUCGAUUUUCGAUAUGACAUAAAUAUUGUUGACAAAGCAUCUCUAUCAACCGAACUGCUCUCAGAAUCGUUUUUCGUUAGCAAUAGCUUAUUGUUGCUUACGGAUAUUCAUUGAAUUCCCUUCUGUAUAUUAUCUUUCCAACUUUCCACCUACAACAGUGUCUGCACCCGUCCUCAUUAUCUUAGGACAAAAUAUAUAAAAAUAUUUAUUAUGUUUUGCUUUUAGAACAGUUAGGUAGGGGCUGUGGAAAUGAAAAUAAAAUUCAUAAAAAUAAUCUAUCUUUCUAUCCAUCUAUCUGUCCUUCUACAAUAUUAAUCCGGGCUUAAGGUUAGAGAGGAUGAGGGAUAGGAUGACUGGAGUCUCCCUUUUUGUUUAUGAUUAAUUUCUUAGUUAUUCUCACUGAGGUAUUUUUAAUGAAACCUUAAAAAUUCAAAUUAGUUUUAUUCAAAAACAAUAUUUACUGAGGAAGCAUAUAAGUGUGUAUGUGUAUGUAGGAUAAAUAUUUAACUUAUUAUUUUUGGCGUGUUGGGGGGGGGUGCAGUUUACGUAUAAACAUUUGUAUAAACAAACGUGUUGGAGAAAAGCAUUUGGGAAGUUUUUAACCCAUAUAGGUUUCCUGGAAAUUUGGUUGGAUUUUCAGAAAUACCCUUCAAUGUUUAGUUAAUAUAGUCUCCCCUCGGAGUGUUUUUCACUUUAACCACUGGUAUCAAGUAAUUUGUCAAAACAACCCUUCGAUAGCGGUACCUUCCGAAUACGGGCGAAUUAGUCGCCGUGAUUACUUUACUACAAAAGAUAGUCCCUCAACGAGGAGCGAGAUCCCGUGGCUAAAUUUUCAUUUCGGCGGCGGGUUUCAAUUUCAUUAUAGUAUAACAUUAUGGCCUAUUUAAAAUAAUUAAAAUCGUUCAUUAUAUUUGACAUUUUUAAAAUUUUUUUUUUCCCGUUAUAAUCAAUCGCCGUGUUAAUACGACGUAUGAUGCACGAAUAUCUUAUUUUAAUAACAUGCGUUUACCCGCUAUUAUUUAGCAAACCGCUGUGCGAAAUACUUGCGCAGGUCAGCUAUGGUGUAAUAAUAAUAUUAUAAUAACAGACAUCACAUUAUAGUAAUACCGAUACGAGGUUAUAUUUACACAGUUAGGACAAAUGAUUAAAUUUCACAUAUCAACGCAAUUGUAUAUUUAAUUAUGUCUUCUCUGUUAUGGUGCGCUCUACCUAUCUUCUAUUUCUAACGAUAUAUAUAAUAUGCACAUAUUAUUCGUAACUAUACGUUCAUUAUAUUAUAAUAGCUGUAUAAAUACUAUCGAUUGUGAAAUCGAUAGUAAUUUAUCAGGCACGAACUUAUAAAUACAAACGUUUCAUUUUUUCACAUAAGUAUACAUAAGUAUAGAAUAUUCAAAUAAAAACAUUUUGUCGGGCACAAUACGGACUAUAUAUGGCGUAUUUUAAGUCUGAUAAGUAAGUGUAACACGAGUUUCGUGAUAUAUUAUAAGAUAAGACGAUUCCGAGUCACGAGUAACUAAAAUAUUAUUAUAAUAUCGUUGCAAUAGAUAUAGGUGGUGCAUAAUAUAGCCUAGAUGGGUGUAUUCAAUUUUUUUUUUUUUAAUAAACCUUUACUUUGUAGGAACUAUAAUUUUAUAGUAAUACCAAGUUCGAGUUCUAAUACACGUCGUUACGGAUUUGAUUGAAAAUCGUAGACAUUAAAGUGAUUUAGACUCGAUUUAUGGUUUAGUAAUUCAUAUACUUAGCGUGCAUAUUACCAAUAAUUUUAAAUAAUUUUGUACACAUCGAAUAAUGUAACAAAUUAUUUGCAGGAAUUGCCUGUUGGACAAUUCCUCAUCAAAAAUGAAUAUUCGAGAUUUUAUAAAUUAUACGUGUUACGUUUUUCUUGGAUUACUUUACUUAUCUAUAUUUUGUAAGUAUAUAAUUUUAAUAAAAUAAUAGUUAUUUAUACUAUCAUAGUCCACUUUUAUACACUAUACCUACUAAAGAAGGGUUGAAUGGAAGGUUAGGGGAUUUAUCUCUAGUUCUGGAGCAUUUGUAUAGUUGCCAACAUUUGCGUAGAUAUACCGUAUACCGUCUAUUAUUAUGAUAAUAAUAUUAGACCCAUAGAUACAAUUAAAUAAUUUGAAACUGAACAGGUUUAUUAAAAUGGUUUUGGCGUUCAAAAAACGAUUAUGAGUGUAAAGGGUUUAUUAGAAUGUCGAUAUUUAAAAAUAAUCUUCUAAUCCUGAAAUUAUAGAAAUAUACGAGAAAUUUUUUCUAGUAUACUUAUUUUAGAAUAUUAAAUGCACAAUCGAUUUAAACAAAAACUGAAUAUUAUUAUUAUUAUAAUAUGUUUACCGUAAUAAUAAUAUGAUAUUGUCGUAUUGGAAAAACGCUUUUGAUGAGACGAAGAAAAAACAAAAAUUGUGAUUACACAAAUUACAAUUACUAUUGGUACACCCAUCACACCUAUCAGCUAUAUAUACUAAACGGACAAUAAUCGGCCGUUUUAGAUAUUAGUUACGAAAAAACCGUACAGCUACAGAACGAUUCGGUCUUAAACUUCAAAACGAAAACAAUUUAUGGCCUCCACGCGAGUUAUCUGUGUGAGGUCCGGUUAUCUGCAACACGACGACGUCAAUUAAAUAUAAAAAUUAAAUAUAAAAAAAAAAAAAGUAUACAUACAUGUUAUGUAAUAAACAUAAACGGUAAAUCGGUUUUUAUGCCACGUUCUUCAACGAUAAAACAAAUAAUAUUCAAUUAUAAUUAAAAUAUUAUUUCAAUUAAUAUUUUAAUAAAUCGCGUUCGAUACCGCGAAUACGAAUGGUCUACUGCGAAAUCACUUUAACGGUUUUGACGGUUGGCAAAAUAAUUUUAAAAAAAGGUUUAUUUACCGCGAUAUAAAAGUACAAAAUUAUUAAUUUCGUCUAAAACUGACUUAAAUCGUCUUUUAAAACACACGUCUCGAAUAAAGUAGGUACGAAAAAAAAAACCACUAACUAAACUACCUGCUUUUAUAAAUCGGGAUGCACUGCGUCAAACGUUCCAGAAAAAAAAAAGUCAUCGAACAUUCCUUUACAAUCCAUUUGACCCUUUGAUUUAAUUAUUUUUAUUCAGACGGAGAGCGAAGGAAACCUCACUUCUAAUUUAACUAUUAAGGACGUCACGUGUACAAAUAUUAUUAUGUAGCAUUUUAACCACGGUAAUGCAAUUCGAUUUAAAAUGUGGCGUACCCUAUGCAGAACAUGGCCCGUUUUCAUCAAAACCUAAUUUGUAAAGAGACGUUUUCGUCAAAUAUUGUUUGGGAAUCGUGUACCUAAAUUACAGUGGCGGAUUUACAGGGGAAAGGGAUGGUGGAUUCCCCAGACACCGAUAUAAUUUCAAUAAAAUAUCGUCCAAAAAAGAGGCAUCUAUUAAUAGAAAAACCUUUUAAAAACAUAUGAUUUUUUAGGCCCCUUCUCAGAAAAAUAUUGAAAAUUCGCUACUUCUAAAAUUUUAUAGUAAUAUUAUAGUAUAAUUCGUUACAGUCAAUAAGUCAAUAAUAAAACAAUUAAAUUCGUUUUUUUAAAAAAAUCGUAUAAUACCUAUCCAUUAUAUGUAAAUAUUUCAAAAGAUCAUAGAAAAAUAUAAUACCUAAUACCAUACUAAUAAUAAUAAAUCGCUAACAAUAAUAUAAGCCGUUAUAGUCGACAAGUUUUCAUUUUUUAUAUUCAGAGUGGAGCGUAGAAGCUUAUAGUUUUACAAAGAUGUACAUUUUUUUUUUUUAUAACAUUUAUAUAACAAUAUUUAGCAUAAAAAUACAAAUAGUAAGGUACGCGGGGGCGGAGUGCUUAUUGCUGUCAAAAAAUCACUCAGUACAAUAAUCUGGUAUGUCUGUACACUACUUUUCCUCCAGAAAUCUUGCUCUGAUCGAAAAAUGAGAAAAUAAUUUUUGUGUAGCGUUUUGGAUUUAGCCCCCGAGUAAGAAAUCUUUUUUUUUGAUUUUUCGUAUAGUCUUCUGAUAAUAAUUUGAUAAAACCGGGAAACGUAUUAUGGGAAAAAACGAAAUUAACGGUUUCAUUAUUUCCGUACACAUUAUAUAUUUAAAUGUGCGUGUUAUUCGAUUGUACGCAACUCGGAAUCUGUUUUCGUUAACGACGGUUUUUCGUGUACCAAACGUCUUUGUCGGGAAACUUUACGAACAGUAUACGUACAGUGUAUACACACGGAAAAUAACAUUAUCCGCAAUUCGCAAACGCGCUGUCCACGUCACAUUUAUGUAACUAUACACAAUAUACGUAUGUAUACAUAAUUUUGAUAACUGGUCAACUCGGAUGUAGGUGUUGGCCGUUGCCUAUACCACAAUAAAUAUUAUAAAAUAUAUAGUUUAUAACACGGUUUUUUUAAAAUUUUUAUUCGUCUCGCGCGUAUACGAUAGGUGGUAAUAAUAGGUAAUAAUAGUAAUACCAUUACACCUGCGACUGCGACUGAAUUCAUAAACGUGACCGUGUAAUAAAAUGCGUUUUCAUAAGUGUAUAUAGGUAUGCACCUAUAAUAUUAUUCCAUUGCGUUAGGACAGGUAUUCGCCGAGAUUAUUUCACAGGAUUUAUUACACGCGUUACGACUGCAGUAUUCUAAUAUUAUAUCAAUAAUCGCGAGUUUUAAUCGCAGAACAAUCGGAAAUCGUAGCCGUUAUUAUGAUAUCAUUGCGUAUACGCGUGCCUAUAUAUAUAUAUAGGUGGAUACUUACCGGUCAAAUUUAAUAGAAUGAGUCGAACAGAAAAUGUGAUCGUAUUGUAUUAAUCGUCGUUCUAUUAUUACAUUGUCGUGUAUUCACCGUAAGAAUAUGAAAUAAUUAACGGCUACACUAUUAAUCCGUACUUAAUAAUUAGUAAUUGUCAGGAUUUUCUAACGAUCGGAUGUAAUUAAAAAAAUACUAUUACAAAAAACGUAUUAUAUUUAUUGUUUUUGUAGAAUUCAGUUGAUUUGCCCGUAUCCUUGUACCGCCUACACGCAGGCAGGUUAGGAUAGGUACACUUUUUUGUUUACCCUUCGGAGUGAUAAAUUUAUUCCCAAAUGCGAAUUCCAAAUUUAUUUACGAUUAUCAAAAUCGAAUGGUCGUUCAUUUCUUCUAUUUUUCUUCUCCUUCGUCUUCAUCCCAGCUAUUCGGUGUUGGAAAAAAAAGUCGAGCAUUAUGUAGUAUUUUUUUUUUUUAUAAAGGAAUUUUAAAUGCAAAUUUUGACAAAAAUCGUUUGAGUAAAAAAUUAUGUGCAACAGAUCUGGCUAGUGGUCUAUCCAAAUUUUUCAAUUUUUUUUUUUGUUUUGAACAAAUGAAUAUUGCAAAUUUAAGAUUGAUGGAACUUCAAAAUUGAGCGCACUGUCUUAGUUUCAGAAUUAUAGCUUUUUGAUGUUUUGAUAUUAUGUGGUUAUUAUAUGUUAAAUAACACAAUAUUGUCAAUAUUAUAGUAUGUCUGUCGUAGUAUAGUGGUGGUAUGUGCUUGUUGUCAACCCAGAGGUCGCGAGUUUAAACCCAAUUUCGAAUUUUUUUUUUUUUUAACUACGACGGGAAGUUAACGGGAAAAAACAAAUUCAUUUUUUUUCCAAAAAUAAAAUCGAGUGUAACGUAUUUUUUUUUUUAUGAGUUUUAAAAUCAAAUGUUUGACGAAAAUCCUAAUUAUUACGGCCAUUCAAUAAUUGUUUAAGCGAACUUCGCUCCGAAUCGUUUUUCGUUAUCAAAUGUUUAUCAUUGGUAACAGGUGUAAAUUAAAUAAUUGUAUGCAUCCCAUUUUCCUCGUUACCUACCUACAACAACAGUAGGCGCAUCCGUCCCCAGUUUCAUAGGAAAUAUUUUUAUUUUUUUUUUUAACACAUUUUUCGAAUUUAAAACAAUAAUAUCGACUUCUCAUAAUACCUACGUGUCAUUACGCGUAAUAAUGUUACGUUGUAUAAAUGUCAAGUGUGCCGUUGAAUUCCGUUUUCAAAUUAUGAAUAUUCUACAGGUCGCGUCGAAAGAUGCGGUAGACACGAGUCAUUUUAAAACGUAAUUACACGAUAGCAAUGGAACCGAUGACUAUAGUUCGCGAAUAAAUCGAAAACGAUUAUUAUCACGCAUACCUAAACACGACGAGCUUAACAAUUAUUUCGAUUUUCACGUGUGUGUGUUUAAAUUACGAAAACACAAAUUUGACUGGAAAUCCGUUUGCCGAUUAUAGUAUUACACCGUUGCACACUUGACGGUUCAUCGGAACCCGUGUACACGGCACUGACCAUCACUCAGACUGCCUCUCAAAACGCGUUUGCACAAUAUCGAAUGCACCUAAAUUGUAUAGUUAUGUUAUAGAUUUAUUGUAAUUUGUGUAUACGAGUUUAAUCCGAAAACGAGAAUUCGCAAUUGAUCACGUUUAGUAGUCGGUGCCGAUAACAAUAAAUACUUCAUUAUUACAAUAGAAAUCUUUAAUUAUUUUUGGAACCUCGUCGAACCUAUUAUAAAAAAAAUUCAAAAAAUGAUGCCAAUAUUCGGUAAAUAUAUAUGCAUUGGACAAAUUGUGUUUUACAGUUUACGUCACGGUUAUUCGUCGAUUCGUUUCUACGCAUAUUUUUGUACGCAUCUUGUUCGUAUCGUUGAAUAAUAAUUUCCAGAUAUUUAAAAUAUUGUCCGUCCGCUCAUAAGAAUAUGUUUUUACAUUUAGGCCCGAAAAUGUUAUACUUCGUGAUGAUUUUAAUAUAAAACUUCAGUAACAGAAUAUGCGAGUAGUAAAUUAUUAAUUGCAAAAAACAUAUAAUAUUAUUGAAAUUUAGUCGAAAUUAUUGUUCAUAUACAGUGUACGUGUUACGCUUAAAAAAAAAAAAAAAAAAAAAAUCGUGUUACCUAUUGUCUUCGUCGUUCACACUAUAAUAUUAUUAUUAUACUUGAACUGUUCUGUCAUUCAAAAUAAUAUACAGGUUUGAAAAUUUAAAAAAUCGCAUUGUCACCGCUUUCCGAACACAAAACAUAUACCUGUAUAGUACGCGACUAUAAUGUACCUACCUGCGACCUGCCUGUUUAUGAAUCAAUAUUGUAAUUUACUGAAUUAUGCAAUUAUAAUUUUUUUACAUUUACAAACCGUUGUGGUGCGCAUCAUAUCUAAUAUAGCAAUGCCAACAACACAAUCUAGGGAAAAUACCUUCGUGCGAUGAAUUUCACGUGGCUAUACUUCAGCGGCCAAUGUAAAGUUUUUAUGUUACAGACAAAACUGUCGUGUAAAUUAAUUCUUUUAUAAUACCUAAUGCGGCAACUAUAAGCUCGAGUAACAAACUAAUUGAUUUUCUACAUAUAUUAUCGCGGUUAGAAAUGUUACUUAAGAAUUAAACAUCGGUUCGUUCAAAUUUUACAGUUUGAUAAAUAUUAUAUAAUCAUACUAUUUAUACGUAUUACGUACGUAAUUAUUCGUUGUUAUUACACGUGUAGUAUUUUUUUUUCCCCGUAGUAAUCUCUGGGGUUUUAUUAAAUCCAGUUAUUAAAUUUAAAAACGCCAUAAAUGAAAAACUGACGAAUUUACCGUUUUAAAAAUUUCAUUAUUUUAUAUUUUUUA